GGAAGAAUCAACAGGGAUUGCCCUAGUAACGGCGAGUGAAGCGGCAACAGCUCAAAUUUGAAAUCUGGCUCUUUUAGAGUCCGAGUUGUAAUUUGCAGAGGGCGCUUUGGCGUUGGCAGCGGUCCAAGUUCUUUGGAACAGGACGUCACAGAGGGUGAGAAUCCCGUACGUGGUCGCUAGCCUUCGCCGUGUAAAGCCCCUUCGACGAGUCGAGUUGUUUGGGAAUGCAGCUCUAAAUGGGAGGUAAAUUUCUUCUAAAGCUAAAUACUGGCCAGAGACCGAUAGCGCACAAGUAGAGUGAUCGAAAGAUGAAAAGCACUUUGGAAAGAGAGUCAAAUAGCACGUGAAAUUGUUGAAAGGGAAGCGCUUGCAGCCAGACUUGCCUGUAGUUGCUUAUCCGGACUUUUGUCCGGUGCACUCUUCUGCGGGCAGGCCAGCAUCAGUCUAGGCGGUUGGAUAAAGGUCUCUGUCAUGUACCUCUCUUCGGGGAGGCCUUAUAGGGGAGACGACAUGCAACCAGCCUGGACUGAGGUCCGCGCAUCUGCUAGGAUGCUGGCGUAAUGGCUGUAAGCGGCCCGUCUUGAAACACGGACCAAGGAGUCUAACAUCUAUGCGAGUGUUUGGGUGUCAAGCCCAGACGCGUAAUGAAAGUGAACGGAGGUGGGAACCCUUUGGGUGCACCAUCGACCGAUCCUGAUGUCUUCGGAUGGAUUUGAGUAAGAGCAUGGCUGUUGGGACCCGAAAGAUGGUGAACUAUGCUUGAAUAGGGUGAAGCCAGAGGAAACUCUGGUGGAGGCUCGCAGCGGUUCUGACGUGCAAAUCGAUCGUC
rnacentral:rRNA from 1 species